rnacentral:rRNA from 1 species
UACGUAGGGUGCAAGCGUUGUCCGGAAUUAUUGGGCGUAAAGCGCGUGUAGGCGGCUUUGCAAGUCGGGUGUGAAAGCCCUCAGCUCAACUGAGGAAGUGCGCCCGAAACUGCAGAGCUUGAGUGCCGGAGAGGGUGGCGGAAUUCCCCCAAGUAGAGGUGAAAUUCGUAGAUAUGGGGGAGGAACACCGGUGGCGAAGGCGGCCACCUGGACGGUAACUGACGCUGAGACGCGAAAGCGUGGGUAGCAAACAGG